GAUGAACGCUGACAGAAUGCUUAACACAUGCAAGUCAACUUGAAUUUGGGUUUUUAACUUAGGUUUGGGUGGCGGACGGGUGAGUAACGCGUAAAGAACUUGCCUCACAGCUAGGGACAACAUUUGGAAACGAAUGCUAAUACCUAAUAUUAUGAUAAUAGGGCAUCCUAUAAUUAUGAAAGCUAUAAGCGCUGUGAGAGAGCUUUGCGUCCCAUUAGCUAGUUGGAGAGGUAACGGCUCACCAAGGCGAUGAUGGGUAGCCGGCCUGAGAGGGUGAUCGGCCACAAGGGGACUGAGACACGGCUCUUACUCCUACGGGAGGCAGCAGUGGGGAACAUUGGACAAUGGACCGAGAGUCUGAUCCAGCAAUUCUGUGUGCACGAUGAAGUUUUUCGGAAUGUAAAGUGCUUUCAGUUGGGAAGAAACAAAUGACGGUACCAACAGAAGAAGUGACGGCUAAAUACGUG
rnacentral:rRNA from 1 species